GUGGGUAGUUUGACUGGGGCGGUCUCCUCCUAAAGAGUAACGGAGGAGCACGAAGGUUGGCUAAUCCUGGUCGGACAUCAGGAGGUUAGUGCAAUGGCAUAAGCCAGCUUGACUGCGAGCGUGACGGCGCGAGCAGGUGCGAAAGCAGGUCAUAGUGAUCCGGUGGUUCUGAAUGGAAGGGCCAUCGCUCAACGGAUAAAAGGUACUCCGGGGAUAACAGGCUGAUACCGCCCAAGAGUUCAUAUCGACGGCGGUGUUUGGCACCUCGAUGUCGGCUCAUCACAUCCUGGGGCUGAAGUAGGUCCCAAGGGUAUGGCUGUUCGCCAUUUAAAGUGGUACGCGAGCUGGGUUUAGAACGUCGUGAGACAGUUCGGUCCCUAUCUGCCGUGGGCGCUGGAGAACUGAGGGGGGCUGCUCCUAGUACGAGAGGACCGGAGUGGACGCAUCACUGGUGUUCGGGUUGUCAUGCCAAUGGCACUGCCCGGUAGCUAAAUGCGGAAGAGAUAAGUGCUGAAAGCAUCUAAGCACGAAACUUGCCCCGAGAUGAGUUCUCCCUGAGACUUAGAGUCUCCUGAAGGAACGUUGAAGACGACGACGUUGAUAGGCCGGGUGUGUAAGCGCAGCGAUGCGUUGAGCUAACCGGUACUAAUGAACCGUGAGGCUUAACCUUACAA
rnacentral:rRNA from 13 species